UUAGUGGCGGACGGGUGAGUAACGCGUGGGUAACCUGCCUUACACAGGGGGAUAACACGUUAGAAAUAGGUGCUAAAACCGCAUAGGCGCACAGCUUCGCAUGAAGCGGUGUGAAAAACUCCGGUGGUGUAAGAUGGACCCGCGUCUGAUUAGCUUGUUGGCGGGGUAACGGCCCACCAAGGCGACGAUCAGUAGCCGGCCUGAGAGGGCGGACCGGCCACAUUGGGACUGAGACACGGCCCAGACUCCUACGGAAGGCAGCAG
rnacentral:rRNA from 1 species